rnacentral:lncRNA from 1 species
GGCUGCAGGGAAGGAAGGAGGUGCAAUCCCUGAGGGAGCUUUCGGGCUAGGAGAACACCUGGAGGGUUUGUAACCUUCCCACCGGGCGGGUGAGGACACCGAGGCUCCGGGGGAAGUGACUCGCUCACGGUCACACAGCGAGCCCGUGGAAGAGACGUCAGCGGGCCCUGCGUCUGAGCGAGGAGACCUCCGCCUGCAGCAGAUUCCACAGCAGGCGCAUGGAUGUUCGCUCGACUACUGAGCUCGCCAGAGAGGCUCGCAGUGUUUUCCUGGACUCACGGCAGAAAGUGAAAAAGCAAGAAAGUCUCGAGAUGUGGGCACCUGCACAUUCCCCAGAGAGCCAAGUACAGAGCCUCCUAAGGAGCUCCUGCAUCCUCUCAACGAUGCCAACCACCAUCUGCUCGUCAACAAUGAUGUCCUUAGCCAUGCAGGGGGGCGGGCCUAGGGGCGUGGGCUCUCAGAGAGGACCGGGGCCAGCACCAGCCUGGAGGAGCCAAGAGCUGGUUCCCACAGAAGAGACUAGAGGGGUGGGGAGAAUUUUCUCAUUAGCUGUUGACUUUUUCCAAUUGUAAAAUGAAUGCCAACUUACCAUAGAAUAUUCUAAAAGUUCAACAAACAAACAAUCCAGAAGACAAAAACCCAUAAUCCCACCUCCUGGCAAGCUGGGCGGUCUCUGAGCACCCCUCCAGUCUUGCUCCUGUCAUGUGACUGGACUGAUGCAGAGGCGGCGGGCACGGCGGCGACAAGCGCAGCUUCCGGGCUCCAACCGCCCGGCUUCAAACCCCAGCCCUGGCACACGCAGCCGUCCCGGCACACUCAGCCAGCCCUGGCACACUCAGCUGUCCCGAGACACACAGCCAUGCUGGCACAGCCAGAUGUGUGACUUUGGUCGGGUCACGUGACCUCUUGGUGCCUGCCUCAGUUUCCUCACGCUUAAAUGGGGAUGGUCAUAGUACCUGCUUCAUGUGGUAGAUGUGAGGGAUAAAUCCAAGACGACUUAGAAUGGUACCCAGCAUAGUAAACACUAUACAGUGUUUUUGCUUGACAUUAUAUUUAACAUCUGUUUUGACACGAUUAAAAGUUCUUCACAAGUAUGCUUUUCUGAGCUUACACAAUGUUCCACUGAGGGAGGUAUCACUUGAAAAGAACUCAGAAAACCAGGAGGCAAAGGACGAGGCCGCCUGCUGGUGGCAGCCCUUACUGGUGAGACCAGCAGGAUUCCAGCACCUUUCUUCCAGGGCCCAUUCUCCCCCGUGUGGCAUCGCCAUCUCCUGCCCCCGCCAGCCCUCCUUCCGCCCUGAUGCCGUCGCCGCCCCACCCACUCCCCACUCCACGUCCCCAGCUCGGUGAGCUUCCCCUCCUCUGUCUGCCUGUCCUGCUGCUGACAGCUAGAAGAUUCCAGGCCAACUGUUUUGUAGACGGUCCCUCAUCUGAGUUUGUUUGAUGUUUCCCUUUGAUUAAAUUCAGGUUGUG